CAAAGCCGCACUUGCAAAACGCGCAUGACGUACAUACUUUAAGAAUGACGCACAUGACGUCAUACUUAUGAUCGCGCUACUUUUCUUUUAGUUGAUGGGUGGGACGGGUGACGUUUUAUUUCUUUUGAGUUAAAUCAGGGUUUCCUGCCCUUGUCAAUAACAUACUGACGAGAUGCCUGGGGUUCUGGCAAAGACGGACCCAAAAAGCGUGGCUAAUAAGGCUUGGACGCUUGCCAGAAAUGGUAGAAGAGACCAGAGAAAGCUACAUCUCAAAGAAAGAGACGUAAAUGCUUUCUACGAGAGUUGUGAAGUGAAAAAGAUGGAGGGUGAGAAGAUCAUAGCCAAUCUACGAAAAAAAAAACAAGCGAAAACGACGAUAUGUGGCUGAGUGUAUGUCAGUAA